AAUCUACUCCCUCCGUCCGGAAAUACUUGUCAUAAGAAUGAAUGUAUCUAGAUGUAUUUUAGUUCUAGAUACAUCUUUUUUAUUCAUUUGUGCAACAAGUAAUUUCGAACGGAGGGAGUAUGUU
rnacentral:pre_miRNA from 2 species